CACGUAGGAGACGAGCGUUAUCCGGAUUUACUGGGCGUAAAGCGCGGGUCGGUGGGGUCUUAAGUCAUGCGUGAAAGCUCUCGGCUUAACCGGGAGAGGUCGUGUGAAACUGGGGCUCUCAGAGGUAGGUAGAGGAUGGUGGAAUUCCCAGUGUAGAGGUGAAAUUCGUAGAUAUUGGGAAGAACACCGAUGGCGAAGGCAGCCAUCUGGACCGACACUGACGCUGAGGCGCGAAAGCGUGGGGAGCAAACAGG
rnacentral:rRNA from 1 species